AUUGAACGCUGGCGGCAGGCUUAACACAUGCAAGUCGAGCGGAGCGAGGGUGCUUGCACCUUAGCUUAGCGGCGGACGGGUGAGUAAUGCUUAGGAAUCUGCCUAUUAGUGGGGGACAACAUUCCGAAAGGAAUGCUAAUACCGCAUACGUCCUACGGGAGAAAGCAGGGGAUCUUCGGACCUUGCGCUAAUAGAUGAGCCUAAGUCGGAUUAGCUAGUUGGUGGGGUAAAGGCCUACCAAGGCGACGAUCUGUAGCGGGUCUGAGAGGAUGAGCCGCCACACUGGGAAUGAGACACGGCCCAGACUCCUCCGGGAGGCAGCAGUGGGGAAUAUUGGACAAUGGGUGGAACCCUGAUCCAGCCAUGCCGCGUGGGUGAAGAAGGCCUUAUGGUUGUAAAGCACUUUAGGCGAGGAGGAGGCUACUGAGACUAAUACUCUUGGAUAGUGGACGUUACUCGCAGAAUAAGCACCGGCUAACUCUGUGCCAGCAGCCGCAGUAAAAC
rnacentral:rRNA from 1 species